rnacentral:rRNA from 1 species
UACGUAGGGUGCAAGCGUUAAUCGGAAUUACUGGGCGUAAAGCGUGCGCAGGCGGCUUUGCAAGACAGAUGUGAAAUCCCCGGGCUUAACCUGGGAACUGCAUUUGUGACUGCAUGGCUGGAGUGCGGCAGAGGGGGAUGGAAUUCCGCGUGUAGCAGUGAAAUGCGUAGAUAUGCGGAGGAACACCGAUGGCGAAGGCGAGUCCCUGGACAACUCCUGACGCUGAGGCACGAAAGCUAGGGGAGCAAACAGG